AACGAACGCUGGCGGCGUGCCUAACACAUGCAAGUCGAGCGCGAAUGGAGCAAUCCUAGUAGAGCGGCGCACGGGUGCGUAACACGUGGGUAAUCUGCCUCAAAGCUCGGGAUAACUUUCCGAAAGGUUAGCUAAUACCGGAUAAGCUCACGAAGGUCUUCGGAUCUGGUGAGAAAAAUCGGUGGCCUCUAUUUAUAAGCUAUCACUUUGAGAUGAGCCCGCGGCCCAUCAGCUAGUUGGCGGUGUAAGAGACCACCAAGGCAACGACGGGUAGCUGGUCUGAGAGGACGAUCAGCCACACUGGAACUGAGACACGGUCCAGACUCCUACGGGAGGCAGCAGUGGGGAAUUUUCCACAAUGGGCGAAAGCCUGAUGGAGCAACGCCGCGUGUGUGAUGAAGGUCUUCGGGAUCGUAAAGCACUUUCGACUGGGACGAAACAACCCUUGGCUAACACUCAAGGGCUUGACGGUACCAGGAGAAGAAGCACCGG
rnacentral:rRNA from 1 species